UGCAGUUCUUCAGCUGUGCACUCUCUAUUGGAACUUUUUUUCCUACUCUUUUCACAAGAACAUCAUCUGAGACAAAAACAGAAGCUGAAAUCACAAUAUUUCAGCAACAUCUUUCCCCCUUACCCAGCCUCCUUAUCAUUUGAAUGGCUAGAAAGACAUUUUUUAAAGAUUUGUUCCAAUGGAUUUCCAGGAAUAACUCUUGGGCUGGCUGGCUUAUGAAUUCCUGGUCCCUUCUUUUCCUCCCUUUAAAAAGAUACUCUCGCCAUAUCAGGCAUAACUUUGCUCACAUCAACAAACCUCCCUGAGCAAGAAAUGAGCACUGCUCCAAGACUCAAGGAUACACUAGUAGGUCCUGCACCCUGCUCUGUUUCUAUGCACAUUUUGUUUUGCUUUAGUAUAAGCUGACUUAUAGGAAGCUUCCAGUAGAGGAAAGCUGUAACUCAUCUGAAAAGAAUCUGUGCUUUAAGAAACAGGCACCUUCAUACUGGAUCUUAAAUAAUAUAUCACAUAAUGCAAUUAUUCUAUGUCUCCUGGUCAUCACAUGGUCUGAGGAAAUC
rnacentral:lncRNA from 1 species